GCCUAACACAUGCAAGUCGAACGGGGAAAGCUUUCGGGUGAGUACUAGUGGCGCACGGGUGAGUAACGCGUGGAUAAUCUGCCUUGAAGAGGGGGAUAACUAGUCGAAAGAUUAGCUAAUACCGCAUAAGACCACAAGAACUGAGGUUCAAGGGGUCAAAGGUUUUUCGCUUCAAGAUGAGUCCGCGUAAGAUUAGCUAGUUGGUGAGGUAAUGGCUCACCAAGGCAACGAUCUUUAACUGGUCUGAGAGGAUGAUCAGUCACACUGGAACUGAGACACGGUCCAGACUCCUACGGGAGGCAGCAGUAGGGAAUAUUGCACAAUGGAGGAAACUCUGAUGCAGCGACGCCGCGUGAGUGAUGAAGGCCUUCGGGUCGUAAAGCUCUGUCGCAGGGGAAUAACACAAUGAAUGUACCCUGUAAGAAAGGAUCGGCUAACUUCGUGCCAGCAGCCGCGGUAAGACGAGGGAUCCUAGCGUUGUUCGGAAUCAUUGGGCGUAAAGCGGGUGUAGGUGGCUUUGUAAGUCAGGUGUGAAAGCCUAGGGCUCAACCCUAGAAGUGCAUUUGAUACUGCGAAGCUUGAGUGCUAGAGAGGUUACUAGAAUUGUUGGUGUAGUGGUGAAAUACGUAGAUAUCAACAGGAAUACCGGUGGCGAAGGCGGGUAACUGGCUAGACACUGACACUCAGACCCGAAAGCGUGGGGAUCAAACAGGAUUAGAUACCCUGGUAGUCCACGCCGUAAACGAUGGAUACUUGUUGUUGGAGGUAUUGACCCCUUCAGUG
rnacentral:rRNA from 1 species